rnacentral:rRNA from 1 species
CCUACGGGCGGCAGCAGUGGGGAAUAUUGCGCAAUGGGCGAAAGCCUGACGCAGCGACGCCGCGUGAGGGAUGAAGGUCUUCGGAUCGUAAACCUCUGUCAGCAGGGAAGAACGGUCACUGUGCUAAUCAGCAGUGAAUUGACGGUACCUGCAAAGGAAGCACCGGCUAACUCCGUGCCAGCAGCCGCGGUAAUACGGAGGGUGCGAGCGUUAAUCGGAAUUACUGGGCGUAAAGCGCUCGUAGGCGGUAUGUCAAGUCAAGGGUGAAAUCCCCGCGCUCAACGUGGGAACUGCCUUUGAAACUGGCAGACUGGAGUGUGUGAGAGGGUAGUGGAAUUCCAGGUGUAGGAGUGAAAUCCGUAGAUAUCUGGAGGAACAUCAGUGGCGAAGGCGACUAUCUGGCACAUAACUGACGCUGAGGAGCGAAAGUGUGGGUAGCAAACAGGAUUAGAUACCCUUGUAGUC